CAGUAGCCGCGGGAAUACGGAGGGUGCAAGCGUUAUCCGGAUUUAUUGGGUUUAAAGGGUCCGUAGGCGGAUCUGUAAGUCAGUGGUGAAAUCUCACAGCUUAACUGUGAAACUGCCAUUGAUACUGCAGGUCUUGAGUAAAUUUGAAGUGGCUGGAAUAAGUAGUGUAGCGGUGAAAUGCAUAGAUAUUACUUAGAACACCAAUUGCGAAGGCAGGUCACUAAGAUUUAACUGACGCUGAUGGACGAAAGCGUGGGGAGCGAACAGGAUUAGAUACCCCAGUAGUCCCUGUCUCUUAUAC
rnacentral:rRNA from 1 species